rnacentral:ribozyme from 1 species
AGAAAGAAGAAGAAAAGAAGAAAAAGAAGAAGAAGGGACUUUUCUUUUGAGUCUCUUCCCUCCCUUUCCCCUUAUUUCCCCCUUUUCCCCUUGUUUCCCCUUGUUUCCC